CCUAGCGCAGGUGAAUCUGUUUCUAAGCAGAUAGAACUCAGAGGCAGCUGUUUCACAAGCUUCUGCUUCUUAGAGAAAAGAGAGAGAACAUUUAAAACAGGAAGAAGUGGAAGCGCAUUAACUUACACGUGGACGAGUCUUGUCCUGCGGGACAUGAACAUCCAUCUUUAUCACCAGAGCUCACUGGACAGCUACCACGCCCUCACCAGUCCACUUCUGAUGGCCACAUGACCAUUUCAAAGUAGGCAUACUGCCUAAAAUUUCAAAGAUGAUCCAAAGCUUUCAGGGAAACAAACACAAUCUAGUAAAUGCGAGAAAUGCCCUACGAGAAAUCAACUAAAAGGACAAACAGCUGCUCACAGAGAGGUUUAAAACUCUUUGGCUGGACUUCACUCUAUAUUCUGCACCUACUCUAUAUUCUGCACCUAUUCUGGUUUUGAAAAAUGAUACAGAUGUGUCUCACAGAAUUGAAAGCACCAUUGAUUGUGAUCUGUAUCCUCAUCUCAUAGAGUAUGAAAAAUGAGUGUCAUGAGAAUGACCAGAUACGGGACGUUAGCAGAGGUUGUCUUUGAAAGACUUUGAACUGUAAUUCCUAUACUGUGACAGUUAGGCUAAGGGGACAACUGCCUAACAUGUGUGAGGCUUUACACCUGGUCCUACAAUGCAUAAGCAUGUGUGUGAAUACACAUAUGCACAUACAUAACCUUUACACCUCCACCCGACUCCAUCACUCCAUUCCCUCACCAGUCAGUCUUCCAUCCCUCCAAUCACUAGCGCACACUAACCAACUUUCCGUCUCCAAUGCUUGUCUUGUCUGCACAUUUCAUUUACACAGAAUCUUACAACAUGUGAUCGUUUGUGUCUGGCUGCUUUCUCCUAAUAUGUUUUCAAGGUUCAGUGACAUUCUGACAUGGUUUAAGUAGCGUGUUCCUCUUUAUGGCGGACCAAUACUCCACUGUAUGAGUAUGUCAUAUUUAGUUUAUCUGACAUCCGUCAGUAGACCCACGACUAGCUUGUCUCUGCUGUGUGACAAUCACACACAAUGCCCCUGAGCAUCCAUGUUUGAGUUUGUGAAUAUAUUUUUUUCCCUUGGGUGUAUGUUAUUAGGGUGAAGUUAGUGGGCAGCAGACUCAGUCGUGUGGAACAGUGUCGCUCUGCAAUCCUGAGGGAAUGACUGAGCUUCUUUUCAACUUGUCUUGUCUGCUGUUUUCUUCAGAGAAGCACCUGCUUCCCAGAGACAGACAAAAUCAUUUGUAGGCUUUGCAGCCAGGCUUCUGUUUUUAUCACUGACCUGUGUCUGCACUUACAUAUACUAUACUGUGCUCUGUGUGUGCACACACACCUUAAACUGUGCUGUGUGUGUGCACUUACACAUCCUACACUGUGCUCUGUGUGUGCACUUACACAUCCUACACUGUGCUCUGUGUGUGCACUUACACAUCCUACACUGUGCUCUGUGUGCACACACAUCCUACACAGUGCUCUGUGUGUGCACUUACACAUCCUACACUGUGCUGUGUCAGUACUUACACAUCCUACACUGUGCUCUGUGUGUGCACUUACACAUCCUACACUGUGCUCUGUGUGCACUUACACAUCCUACACUGUGCUCUGUGUGUGCACUUACACGUCCUACACUGUGCUCUGUGUGCACUUACACAUCCUACACUGUGCUCUGUGUGUGCACACACAUCCUACACUGUGCUCUGUGUCAGCACUUACACAUCCUACACUGUGCUGUGUCAGCACUUACACAUCCUACACUGUGUUCUGUGUGUGCACUGACACAUCCUACACUGUGCUGUGUCAGUACUUACACAUCCUACACUGUGCUCUGUGUGUGCACUUACACAUCCUACACUGUGCUCUGUGUGCACUUACACAUCCUACACUGUGCUCUGUGUGUGCACACACAUCCUACACUGUGCUCUGUGUGUACACUUACACAUCCUACACUGUGCUCUGUGUCAGCACUUACACAUCCUACACUGUGCUGGUCAGCACUUACACAUCCUACACUGUGCUCUGUGUGUGCACUUACACAUCCUACACUGUGCUCUGUGUGUGCACUUACACAUCCUACACUGUGCUCUGUGUGUGCACUUACACAUCCUACACUGUGCUCUGUGUCAGCACUUACACAUCCUACACUGUGCUCUGUGUGUGCACUUACACAUCCUACACUGUGUUCUGUGUGUGCAGUGACACAUCCUACACUGUGCUCUGUGUGUGCACUUACACAUCCUACACUGUGCUGUGUCAGUACUUACACAUCCUACACUGUGCUCUGUGUGUGCACUUACACAUCCUACACUGUGCUCUGUGUCAGCACUUACACAUCCUACACUGUGCUCGGUGUGUGCACUUACACAUCCUACACUGUGCUCUGUGUGCACACACAUCCUACACUGUGCUCUGUGUGCACACACAUCCUACACUGUGCUCUGUGUCAGCACUUACACAUCCUACACUGUGCUCGGUGUGUGCACUUACACAUCCUACACUGUGCUCUGUGUGCACACACAUCCUACACUGUGCUCUGUGUGCACACACAUCCUACACUGUGCUCUGUGUCAGCACUUACACAUCCUACACUGUGCUCUGUGUGUGCACUUACACAUUCUACACUGUGCUCUGUGUCAGCACUUACACAUCCUACACUGUGCUCUGUGUGUGCACUUACACAUCCUACACUGUGCUCUGUGUGCACACACAUCCUACACUAUGCUGUGUGUGUGCACUUACACAUCCUACACUGUGCUCUGUGUGCACGCUUACACAUCCUACACUGUGCUCUUUGUCAGCACUUACACAUCCUACACUGUGCUCUGUGUGCACACACAUCCUACACUGUGCUGUGUGUGUGCACUUACACAUCCUACACUGUGCUCUGUGUGCACGCUUACACAUCCUACACUGUGCUCCUUGUCAGCACUUACACAUCCUAUACUGUGCUUGUGUGUGCACUUACACAUCCUACACUGUGCUAUAACUCUACGAGCCACUUCGCCCAGUAAAAGAGUAGUACUGUCCACUGUGCCACCUCUCCAGUCUGCCGCAGGUCCCUUUUAAGCUUUUUAAAUGUUUGAGUGGAGACAAGUUUAACUUUUGAAACGUAACUAGAAUAGCAUCACAAGUUUGUCACACAGCAUAUGUUAUUUGCACCAUACAGAGUGUCUGGUAAGUUUUAAUCGAAGACUUUACCUGUCCACUUCGUACGAUGGAUGGGGGAAUGGAGAAGUAGUAACCGGCCCUGGCGCCUUCCAUGGCUACCGAUGGCCGACCGUCAAAUGCAUGCAGCAGAACCUGUUUUGCACCUCUCAAAUCAAACACAAAUCACAGUUCCAUUUUGUCUCCUAACAAAGAGCUUCCCAUUAGUCUAAUUAAACAGAAAUCUGAAUUAUAAGCAAAUAUUUAUGAUGAUGCCAAGAUCAUAUUCCAUUGCUUCUAAAGUUUCAAUAAACAGUUAAUGUUCAGCCAGGAGAAAAAUAAGUUUUUUAAUCUUCAGAAUAAAAUAGUUGAAUAACGCCAGGCGUGGUGGCACACGCCUUUAAUCCCAGCACUUGGGAGGCAGAGGCAGGCGGAUUUCUGAGUUCGAGGCCAGCCUGGUCUACAGAGCGAGUUCCAGGACAGCCAGGGCUACACAGAGAAACUCUGUCUCAAACAAACAAACAAACAAACAAGUAGUUGAAUAACAUUGAAAUGCAGUUUUUAAAGCAAUCAUCUAAACUAUCUCUACCACUAGGUCUUUUUCAUGUCUGUCAGCUGUCAAAGUACCAUUCCUAAGAAUGGUAAGAAAAGGGUUUCAGGCAAACCCUUCAAUUUUCCUAAGGAAAUGCUAGUAGAGAAAAAAAAAGGAUUCACAAAUUAAACAGGCCGAGGCUCAUAAAACCAACCCCUAAUCUCCGCCCCCUUGCCUUGUAUGUGUGUGUGUGUGUGUGUGUGUGUGUGACUGAGGACCAAACCCAGGCCCUUCCCCAUACUGGGGCCAUCCCUCACCACUGAGGUUCAUCUUUCACACUAACUCCAGCUCUUACAUGGUAGUUGUUCAGCCGCCAUAAAUCAAGUGUUCAGUGACUCCAGAGGGCUCAGCGCUGACAAACCCAUCACUGCCACACCUCUAACUGCAGGGAGAGGGCUCAGCACUGACAAACCUAUCACUGCCACACCUCUAACUGCAGGGAGUUCCAUUAUUUCACCAUCUGAGUUUCAAGUCAUGUGAAUAUUCAUGAUGAUCAUAAUUUUGUUGUAAAAUUGAUUUAGUAGGCUACAACCAAACAAUGUGGGGUUUUGUAUACACACAACUGUAGACUAACACACCUGUACAUGUACAUGUACUGCAUCUUAUACAUCUGAUAGGACUUUUUAAUGCAUAUAGGAGUCUAAAAAUAAGGUGCAUUUCUUAUUGGUGAUUGCACUUUAACCUUUGGAAAAGAACUGUGUUCCGGUUAGAGAAACCAGAGCAAGUGAGCAUGCUCUUUGCACACGAUGGCCACAUCUGCACAGUAAUGCUGCUUUGUUAUUUAGUUAUCAUUUUCAUAUAUUAACUCAUGGUAUAUAUGUGUUUGUACAAGUACUAUGUGCCACAGUAGAGGUCAGAGGACACCUCCCCAGAGAUCUGGGUACUGAACUCUGGUCAUCAGGUUUGUGGGCAAGCCCCUCUACUAUCUGGCCCCAAAGCAACAGACAGAGAACAAGCCGACCACGAGCAAUGAGUCCUUCUUGCCUUAUUUUCCCUUGUUGGAGCCAGGGGCUGGAGAGAUGGCUGUGCGUUAAAAGUACCCGCUGCUCUUGCAGAGGACCUGGUUGAGUUCCCAGAACCCACAUGGCAGCUCACAGCUGUCUAUAACUCUAGUUACAGAGGGCCUGAUGCCCUAUUUGGGCCUCUUAGGACACCUGGCACAGAUGCAGUAAAUGUGCAUAUAUGCAGGCAAAACACUCAAAUACACAAAAUUAAAAUGAAUAAAUAAAUCUUAAAAGAUAAAUAGAAAUUGAAACUUCAAAUUUUCAUUUGCUCCAGUCAAGCCGGACGGACACAUAAUUGCACAAAACGACCUUGUAAGUGCUAGCCUGGCCCACAAGCUCAUCCUGGUGGGCUCUCCUCCACUCUCCAUGCAGCCCUUGUCUUUCAGGGAUCAAAGGGAGACACACUUGCUCCUUAGGCCCUCCACUGGAGCGUUAGGGAUAGAAGUAUAAGUACCUUGUUCACGUAAGAGGCUGAUGGUGGGUCUUCCAGCUGAGCGUGAGUGCACAUUUCUGUUUAACAACAGCAAAAUUCCUUUGUUGUAUUAAAAUAAUUCAAGAGGUCAGAGAGAUGAGUCAGCUACUCUUGCCACCAAGGAUCGGGCUUGUCCCUGGCACCCACAUGGCAGCAGCUGGUUAACAACUUUAACUCCAGUUCCAGGGGGUACCACGACCUCUCCUGGCUCCCACAGGCAUUACACAAACAUAGUCCACAGACACGCAUGCAGGCAAACACACACACACUCAGAAAGAAUGAAUUUUAAAAAAUAACCGAGAGAAAAAGAGAGAGAGAACUCAUUUCAAGAGGACCAACUGCUAAGGAAUUUGCUGUGUAGUUAUGAGUAGAAAGAUAGUUCACCCACAGAGGCACAUUUAGCCUUUUGGCCAGUUGCACUUGUCUGAUUAGGACUUGUCUUUGUUCUUCCUUCUCCUCAUCAGUGCCUGCAUAUCUGGGGGUGAAGUCUAGC
rnacentral:lncRNA from 1 species